rnacentral:rRNA from 1 species
GACGAACGCUGGCGGCGUGCUUAACACAUGCAAGUCGAACGGAAAGGCCCUGCUUUUGUGGGGUGCUCGAGUGGCGAACGGGUGAGUAACACGUGAGUAACCUGCCCUUGACUUUGGGAUAACUUCAGGAAACUGGGGCUAAUACCGGAUAGGAGCUCCUGCUGCAUGGUGGGGGUUGGAAAGUUUCGGCGGUUGGGAUGGACUCGCGGCUUAUCAGCUUGUUGGUGGGGUAGUGGCUUACCAAGGCUUUGACGGGUAGCCGGCCUGAGAGGGUGACCGGCCACAUUGGGACUGAGAUACGGCCCAGACUCCUACGGGAGGCAGCAGUGGGGAAUAUUGCACAAUGGGCGGAAGCCUGAUGCAGCAACGCCGCGUGCGGGAUGACGGCCUUCGGGUUGUAAACCGCUUUCGCCUGUGACGAAGUGUGAGUGACGGUAAUGGGUAAAGAAGCACCGGCUAACUACGUG